UACAGAGGGUGCGAGCGUUAAUCGGAAUACUGGGCGUAAGGCGUGCGUAGACGGUUAUUUAAGUCGGGUGUGAAAGCCCCGGGCUCAACCUGGGAAUUGCAUUCGAGACUGAAUAGCUAGGGUACGGUAGAGGGAAGUGGAAUUUCCGGUGUAGCGGUGAAAUGCGUAGAUAUCGGAAGGAACACCAGUGGCGAAAGCGGCUUCCUGGUCCAGCACCGACGUCAGGCACGAAAGCGUGGGGAGCAAACAGG
rnacentral:rRNA from 1 species